AUUAAGGCGCAGAAAAAUGAGCUGCUGCAGCCUAGCUUGGCUGGGGGUGCUGAACAAAGAACGAACUGCUGGUAACUCCGCGCCUGCAGUUCUUAGCUUGCCAGCAGCCAGGGCCAGGAGAGCAUGCUGCGACCCCCACACCUGCUCGCCAUUCUUUUCCAGCCAAGCAGCCUCUUAGCAACGGCUCCCUGCGUCAGCUAGAAACGCCGAGGUCCGAAAGAGCCGGCCGAGGUAGAGUGGAGAAGAAGGCUGCCUUGGCUGGGUGCAGGCGGCAUCUUCUGCACCAGGUGGAGGACAGGCAGCUUUGCACAAUUGAACAUCCCUGAGCCAGCCGGCCUCUGAGCAUCUUGCGCUGGCAGUGCCGGGCAAAGCUCCCGGGAGGGGAGGCUGCCUGGCAUGGAGGGGGCAUUGAUAAAAUGGCAGCCCCUGUCCUUGGCUCCGUUAUGCUUACAGGCUCCAAAUGGCCUUUAUCUCGGUCCUCGCAGCCUGCGCCAGUGCAGAGAGAGAAAUGGGCGUCCUACCAGCUGCCGGGAACUCAGGAAUGGAGGCAGAGGCGGAAGCAGAGGCUCCAGUUGGUGGAGGCAGCAGAAACCACACUGCUCAGCUUCCCGGGAGGGAAAGGAAACAUUUGGCAAUGUCUGGAGACGCUCUUGGCAUCUAGUGGGUGGAGGCCAGGAUGCUGCUAAACAUCCUCCAAUGCACAGGACAGACUCCACGACAGUCAUUCAGCCUGAAAUGUCAAUAGUUCAAGGGGGAAAAACGCUGCACCAGGAUGAUGUUCGGGACCUGGCACUUGCAAACCCUUCACAUGUAGGGCUAGGUUCACAGUUGUGCCUACCCCUGGAGGCAUAUUAGCAGCUCUGGGAACUUAAAACAACAACAACAACGUUUAGGGCCCUUUCCAGACCAGAAUCUCUGAGAGGAAGGCUCAAGCAUCAUCCACAGGUUGAGACACACCAGGAUGGAGAUCCACUGGACCAGAAGGGGUCACCUGCAAGGAAUGACACACUGGAGGAGGACAAAGGCCAAAGCAUAUGAUUCUUGCAGGACUUUAUGGCCAUGCUAUGGAGGAGACAAUGUGGAACCCCCAAAGUAUUUUAAGCUAGGGAGUAAUACAGUCAAAUUUCCAUUUAGACAAAUUAUUUUAGCAAUCUUAAGCAGGAUGCUUUAGAAAGAGGAGGUGAGGAGAGCAUGAAGACCAGUCAGAAGGCUUUGCGGUGGUCCAGGGCAGCAUUGGUGAGAAUGAAAAUGGAAGCAUUUCCCUAUUUCCCCUGCCCCGCCUAGCCCCCAGCCCCUGGCAAUCAGUAAUCUUCUUUGGAAAUGUGUUGCAAUGGUGUGGAUUUCAAAAAUAUGCAAGUGAUAACAUUGAUGGGACUUUAGACCCAUGAGAUUUGGGCAUUGAGAGGGAGGGAGGAAUCAAAAGUGAAGCCCAGUGUUUCUUGCUUCAGAACUGGAUAUUUGGUGGUGAAAUUUACUGAGAUAAGAAGCCCAGAAAGAGACCCACAUGAGUUCUGUUCCAGACAUGUUGAGAUAAAGGGAUCCACGAGGAGGCUGGAGCUCUUCAGGUCUGGAACUUGGACAGGCAUGUUAGGCUGAGUUGUACUUUUGCAAGUUUCUCGAAAACAGAUUGAGAAAGAAGAGGACCAUGAACAAAACCCCCGGGAACCCCUAAGGAUGCAUAGAAAAAGGAGGAACACAGGAGCAAAGGGUGCCACAGAGAAAACAAGAGAAGAGAGGAUUUCAAGAAACAGGGAGGAGUUAACAGUGUCAAAGGCAGCGGAGAACUUAGGUAAGAUAAGUACUGAGGAUUGUCUGGUGGAUUUGGCGAUUUAGCAAAAGAGUUUCUGUGGAUCAGUGGGGAAAAGAAAGGAGGUAAGAGAGGAUUGAGGAACAACUGAGAGGGGAGCAUGCGUAGCUGGUAAAGAACUGUAUUUGUAAUAAUAAUAUGCCUAGUACCCUCAUAAAGUUUUUUUAUUGUAGUAACAUACAUGAACAUAAAAUUUACUCUUUUAACCAUCUUAACGUGUACACAUUGGUGAGUAAAGUACACGUACAGUGUUGCACAACCAUCACCACUGUGCAGGUCCGGAACUAAAAUGAACACUCCAAUAAACUUCCAGUCCCAAAAAGUAAACUUUAUACCCAUAAAGAGUCAUUCCCUAUUUCCACCGCCCUGCCUAACCCCCAGCCCCUGGCAAUCAGUAAUCUUGUUUCUUUCUCUAUGGAUUUGCCUAUUCUGAAUAUUUCAUAUAAAUGGAAUGGUACAAGAUGUGGUCCUUUGGGCUGAUUUCAAAAGACCUUCUCGUGUUUUCAAGGUUCAUCCAUGUUACAGCAUGUGUCAGUACUUCAUUCUGUGUCUAGGGCUCAAUAAUAUUCCACGUUAUGGAUAUAUUUUGUUUAUCUAUUCAUGGAUAUUUGGGUACAUGGAUAUGUGGAUGGAUAUUUGGAUCACUAUAAAUAAAGCUUAAGGUUUACAAAUCA